rnacentral:tRNA from 1 species
GCCCGGCUAGCUCAAUCAGUAGAGCACAAAGACUCUUAAUUUCGGGGUCGUGGGUUCAAGUCCCACGUUGGGCC